AUAUAGAGUUAGCCAAAGAUUCCUGAUUUUCAUCUGAAAGGAGAAUUAUAUUAAUCCUGAUUUGUAAAGCUGUCAAGGAAGAACAUGUGUUAAUGAGAAUAAGAAUUGAUUCCAGUCCUACCUCAAUGGGAGGAGUUAUGCAUAUUUUGGGUGUCACAACUGAGAGGUUUCUCUCCAUUGUGGACAUGUACUCUGGACCAAGUGUCCCCUUGUCAGGUUCCUUGUCAUGUGCCCAUUCUCACAUCAGUUGCAAGAUCAACCAUGCAACUGGUUACAAAACUGAGAAGUCACCGAAAUUGUGGGCCAUGAUGAUGCUUACAUGAUUCCCUUUCCAUACCACAUUUAGUAAAUAUUAGCCCUUUAUGUGUUUUGCUGGUCUGAUUGUAAAUAAAGAUUGUUUAAUUGAUAUUAGCCUAUUUACUCCAUAAAACAGAAGUGCAGCAGUUAUCUAUCACACCUCCUUUCCUGAUUUCAAACUUCAGUAAGCAGAGAGGAAGCUAAAUCUCCAGCAGUCAGAAGAGAGAACACAGACAACUGCCCCCUACUUUACAUGACUGGUUUAUAUUACAUUGAACAUUUUGCUGGGGGUCUCUUUUUUUUUUUCUUUUACACUCUUUAAUCACAUAUGUCAAGUCCUGAUUUCAAAACAUUCAUCAACUUCCUACCUUCAAUACGAGUACACCAAAUUAUGUCACUAGAAUAUGUACUGUUACCCUGAUUUCUAAUUAACAUUCUAUUUACUUGACAUUUUAAUC